GGUUAAGCGACUAAGCGUACACGGUGGAUGCCCUGGCAGUCAGAGGCGAUGAAGGGCGUGCUAAUCUGCGAUAAGCGCCGGUAAGGUGAUAUGAACCGUUAUAACCGGCGAUACCCGAAUGGGGAAACCCAGUGUGACUCGUCACACUAUCAUUAACUGAAUCCAUAGGUUAAUGAGGCGAACCGGGGGAACUGAAACAUCUAAGUACCCCGAGGAAAAGAAAUCAACCGAGAUUCCCCCAGUAGCGGCGAGCGAACGGGGAGGAGCCCAGAGCCUGAAUCAGCAUGUGUGUUAGUGGAAGCGUCUGGAAAGGCGCGCGAUACAGGGUGACAGCCCCGUACACAAAAGCGCAUGUGCUGUGAGCUCGAUGAGUAGGGCGGGACACGUGGUAUCCUGUCUGAAUAUGGGGGGACCAUCCUCCAAGGCUAAAUACUCCUGACUGACCGAUAGUGAACCAGUACCGUGAGGGAAAGGCGAAAAGAACCCCGGCGAGGGGAGUGAAAAAGAACCUGAAACCGUGUACGUACAAGCAGUGGGAGCACAGGUUUACCUGUGUGACUGCGUACCUUUUGUAUAAUGGGUCAGCGACUUAUAUUCUGUAGCAAGGUUAACCGAAUAGGGGAGCCGGAGGGAAACCGAGUCUUAAUUGGGCGUUAAGUUGCAGGGUAUAGACCCGAAACCCGGUGAUCUAGCCAUGGGCAGGUUGAAGGUUGGGUAACACUAACUGGAGGACCGAACCGACUAAUGUUGAAAAAUUAGCGGAUGACCUGUGGCUGGGGGUGAAAGGCCAAUCAAACCGGGAGAUAGCUGGUUCUCCCCGAAAGCUAUUUAGGUAGCGCCUCGUGAAUUCAUCUCCGGGGGUAGAGCACUGUUUCGGCUAGGGGGCCAUCCCGGCUUACCAACCCGAUGCAAACUGCGAAUACCGGAGAAUGUUAUCACGGGAGACACACGGCGGGUGCUAACGUCCGUCGUGAAGAGGGAAACAACCCAGACCGCCAGCUAAGGUCCCAAAGUCAUGGUUAAGUGGGAAACGAUGUGGGAAGGCCCAGACAGCCAGGAUGUUGGCUUAGAAGCAGCCAUCAUUUAAAGAAAGCGUAAUAGCUCACUGGUCGAGUCGGCCUGCGCGGAAGAUGUAACGGGGCUAAACCAUGCACCGAAGCUGCGGCAGCGAACGUAUCACCCAAGACAACUUUGCGGAGUUGACGAUUGACGGAGCGAAGCGACGUCAAAGCGUUCAUUAAAGUCGAGUUGGCUUAGGGAUACGUUCGUUGGGUAGGGGAGCGUUCUGUAAGCCAGUGAAGGUGUGUCGUGAGGCAUGCUGGAGGUAUCAGAAGUGCGAAUGCUGACAUAAGUAACGAUAAAGCGGGUGAAAAGCCCGCUCGCCGGAAGACCAAGGGUUCCUGUCCAACGUUAAUCGGGGCAGGGUGAGUCGACCCCUAAGGCGAGGCCGAAAGGCGUAGUCGAUGGGAAACGGGUUAAUAUUCCCGUACUUGGUGUUACUGCGAAGGGGGGACGGAGAAGGCUAUGUUGGCCGGGCGACGGUUGUCCCGGUUUAAGCGUGUAGGUGUGUGUUCCAGGUAAAUCCGGUUCACUUUAACACUGAGGCGUGAUGACGAGGCACUACGGUGCUGAAGCAACAAAUGCCCUGCUUCCAGGAAAAGCCUCUAAGCAUCAGGUAACAUCAAAUCGUACCCCAAACCGACACAGGUGGUCAGGUAGAGAAUACCAAGGCGCUUGAGAGAACUCGGGUGAAGGAACUAGGCAAAAUGGUGCCGUAACUUCGGGAGAAGGCACGCUGACACGUAGGUGAAGUGAUUUACUCACGGAGCUGAAGUCAGUCGAAGAUACCAGCUGGCUGCAACUGUUUAUUAAAAACACAGCACUGUGCAAACACGAAAGUGGACGUAUACGGUGUGACGCCUGCCCGGUGCCGGAAGGUUAAUUGAUGGGGUCAGCGCAAGCGAAGCUCCUGAUCGAAGCCCCGGUAAACGGCGGCCGUAACUAUAACGGUCCUAAGGUAGCGAAAUUCCUUGUCGGGUAAGUUCCGACCUGCACGAAUGGCGUAAUGAUGGCCAGGCUGUCUCCACCCGAGACUCAGUGAAAUUGAACUCGCUGUGAAGAUGCAGUGUACCCGCGGCAAGACGGAAAGACCCCGUGAACCUUUACUAUAGCUUGACACUGAACAUUGAGCCUUGAUGUGUAGGAUAGGUGGGAGGCUUUGAAGCGUGGACGCCAGUCUGCGUGGAGCCGACCUUGAAAUACCACCCUUUAAUGUUUGAUGUUCUAACGUGGACCCGUAAUCCGGGUUGCGGACAGUGUCUGGUGGGUAGUUUGACUGGGGCGGUCUCCUCCUAAAGAGUAACGGAGGAGCACGAAGGUUGGCUAAUCCUGGUCGGACAUCAGGAGGUUAGUGCAAUGGCAUAAGCCAGCUUGACUGCGAGCGUGACGGCGCGAGCAGGUGCGAAAGCAGGUCAUAGUGAUCCGGUGGUUCUGAAUGGAAGGGCCAUCGCUCAACGGAUAAAAGGUACUCCGGGGAUAACAGGCUGAUACCGCCCAAGAGUUCAUAUCGACGGCGGUGUUUGGCACCUCGAUGUCGGCUCAUCACAUCCUGGGGCUGAAGUAGGUCCCAAGGGUAUGGCUGUUCGCCAUUUAAAGUGGUACGCGAGCUGGGUUUAGAACGUCGUGAGACAGUUCGGUCCCUAUCUGCCGUGGGCGCUGGAGAACUGAGGGGGGCUGCUCCUAGUACGAGAGGACCGGAGUGGACGCAUCACUGGUGUUCGGGUUGUCAUGCCAAUGGCACUGCCCGGUAGCUAAAUGCGGAAGAGAUAAGUGCUGAAAGCAUCUAAGCACGAAACUUGCCCCGAGAUGAGUUCUCCCUGAGACUUUAGGUCUCCUGAAGGAACGUUGAAGACGACGACGUUGAUAGGCCGGGUGUGUAAGCGCAGCGAUGCGUUGAGCUAACCGGUACUAAUGAACCGUGAGGCUUAACCUU
rnacentral:rRNA from 1 species